rnacentral:rRNA from 1 species
AGUACCGUGAGGGAAAGGUGAAAAGAACCCCGGGAGGGGAGUGAAAUAGAACCUGAAACCGUAUGUCUACAAGCAGUCGAAGCACCUUAAGAGUGCGACGGCGUGCCUAUUGAAGAAUGAACCGGCGAGUUACAUUAUGUUGCGAGGUUAAGUGGGAGACACGGAGCCGAAGCGAAAGCGAGUCUUAAUAGGGCGACUAGUAACAUGGUGUAGACCCGAAACCGCAGUGAUCUAUCCAUGGUCAGGUUGAAGCGCAGGUAAAAAUGCGUGGAGGACCGAACCCGUGAGUGUUGAAAAACUUUGGGAUGAACCGUGGAUAGGGGUGAAAUGCCAAUCGAACGCGGAGAUAGCUGGUACUCCCCGAAAUAGCUUUAGGGCUAGCCUCAGGGAAGAUUAUAGACGGUAGAGCACUGAUCUGGCAAGGGGGCGUAAAGCCUACCGACCCUAGUCAAACUUCGAAUGGCUAUAAUUAAGACCCUGGGAGUCAGACUGCGAGUGAUAAGACCCGUAGUCAAGAGGGAAACAGCCCAGACCGCCGACUAAGGUCCCCAAUGCUGUACUAAGUGGAAAAGGAUGUAAGACUUCAUAAACAACCAGGAUGUUGGCUUAGAAGCAGCCACCAUUAAAAGAGUGCGUAAUAGCUCACUGGUCGAGAGGCCUUGCGCCGAAGAUGUCCGGGGCUCAAGUACAGAACCGAAGUCGCGGCAGGAUUAUAUAAUUCUGGGUAGGGGAGCGUUGUAUAUCCGACUGAAGGUGUACCGGAAGGAGCGCUGGAGGAUAUACAAGAGAGAAUGCCGGUAUGAGUAGCGAAAAGAACAGUGAGAAUCUGUUCCACCGAAAGCCUAAGGUUUCCUGAGCAACGCUCGUCGACUCAGGGUAAGUCGGGACCUAAGCCGAGGCAAAAAGCAUAGGCGAUGGACAACAGGUUAAUAUUCCUGUACCGCUUCAAAUCGUUUGAGCAAUGGAGUGACACAGAAGGUAGCUUGAGCACGCGAAUGGAUGUGCGUGUCGAAGGUGGUAGGUUGCAGUAUAGGCAAAUCCGUACUGUAUAAGAUCGAGAACUGAUAGAUAGACAAUACUUCGGUAAAGUCAAAUUCAAGUGAGCCAUGCUGUCGAGAAAAGCUUCUAGUGAGAGAUGAGGCGCCCGUACCGAAACCGACACAGGUAGGCGGGGAGAGAAUCCUAAGGUGCGCGGGACAACCCUCGUUAAGGAACUCGGCAAAUUGUAUCCGUAACUUAGGGAUAAGGAUAGCCGGAGGAUGUGAAGGGAUUUACUUCUGGAGCGUCAGCCGGUGGCACAAGAGAGGCCCAAGCGACUGUUUAGCACAAACACAGGUGCCUGCAAAAGAGAAAUCUGACGUAUAGGUGCUGACACCUGCCCGGUGCUGGAAGGUUAAGAGGAGGGCUUAGAGGCAACUCGAAGGCUUGAAUUGAAGCCCCAGUAAACGGCGGCCGUAACUAUAACGGUCCUAAGGUAGCGAAAUUCCUUGUCGGGUAAGUUCCGACCCGCACGAAAGGUGUAACGACUUGGGCACUGUCUCAACGAGGGACCCGGUGAAAUUGAAGUACCUGUGAAGAUGCAGGUUACCCGCGACUGGACAGAAAGACCCCAUGGAGCUUUACUGCAACCUGACAUUGAUGUUCGGUAAAUAACGUACAGGAUAGGUGGGAGACGGAGAAGUAUUGGCGUUAGCUGAUAUGGAGUCAACCUUGGGAUACCACCCUUUAUUUAUUGGACCUCUAACUGAAGAAGUAACGACUCUCAGGACAGUAUCAGGCGGGCAGUUUGACUGGGGCGGUCGCCUCCCAAAAUGUAACGGAGGCGCCCAAAGGUUCCCUCAGCGCGAACGGAAACCGCGCAAAGAGUGUAAAGGCAGAAGGGAGCUUGACUGCGAGUCAGACACGACGAGCAGGUACGAAAGUAGGGCUUAGUGAUCCGGUGGUUCCGAGUGGAAGGGCCAUCGCUCAACGGAUAAAAGCUACCCUGGGGAUAACAGGCUAAUCUCUCCCAAGAGU